GCUGGCGGUAAGGCUAAAGCUGCAAGUCUGGGAGAACCUUCGGGGGAAACCGGCUAAAGGGCGAGUAAUGCGAUCGAACGUACCCCAAUGUGGGGGAUAGCGUCGGGAAACUGGCGGUAAUACCCCGUGUGCUCUACGGAGGAAGUUGGGAGCGGCGAUCGUCCUAUCAGGUUGUUGGCGGGGUAAAGGCCCACCAAGCCGAAGACGGGUAGCGGGUGUGAGAGCAUGGCCCGCCGCAUCGGGACUGAGACACUGCCCGGACUCCUACGGGAGGCUGCAGCGACGAAUCUUCCGCAAUGCGCGAAAGCGUGACGGAGCAAUGCCGCGUGUAGGAUGAAGGCGCUCUGCGUCGUAAACUACUGUCAGACCCUAGAACCAACGAUCAGGGUCAGAGGAAGGGCCGGCUAAACUCGUGCCAGCAGCCGCGGUAAUGCGAGUGGCCCAAGCGUUAAUCGGAAUCACUGGGCUUAAAGCGUGCGCAGGCGGACCUUCAGGCGUCCCGUGAAAUACCCCGGCUCAACCGGGGAAUGGCUGGGCGAACCGUUGGUCUUGAGGCAGGUAGGGGGGUGCAGAACUGUCGGUGGAGCCGGUGAAAAUGCGUAGAUAUCGACAGGAAUGCCCGAAAGGCCCAAGGCGGCACCCUUGGGCCCUGUUCUUUGACGCUCAUG
rnacentral:rRNA from 1 species